UCCCUGGUGGGUCAGUGGCCAAGACUCCAUGCUCCCAAUUCAGGGGGCCCAGGUUCAAUCCCUGGUCAGGGAA
rnacentral:tRNA from 1 species